rnacentral:rRNA from 1 species
GAUGAACGCUGGCGGCGUGCCUAAUACAUGCAAGUCGAGCGAACAGAUGAGGAGCUUGCUCCUCUGACGUUAGCGGCGGACGGGUGAGUAACACGUGGAUAACCUACCUAUAAGACUGGGAUAACUUCGGGAAACCGGAGCUAAUACCGGAUAAUAUAUUGAACCGCAUGGUUCAAUAGUGAAAGACGGUUUUGCUGUCACUUAUAGAUGGAUCCGCGCCGCAUUAGCUAGUUGGUAAGGUAACGGCUUACCAAGGCAACGAUGCGUAGCCGACCUGAGAGGGUGAUCGGCCACACUGGAACUGAGACACGGUCCAGACUCCGACGGGAGGCAGCAGUAGGGAAUCUUCCGAAAUGGGCGAAAGCCUGACGGAGCAACGCCGCGUGAGUGAUGAAGGUCUUCGGAUCGUAAAACUCUGUUAUUAGGGAAGAACAAAUGUGUAAGUAACUAUGCACGUCUUGACGGUACCUAAUCAGAAAGCCACGGCUAACUACGUG